rnacentral:rRNA from 1 species
GAUGAACGCUAGCGGCAGGCUUAAUACAUGCAAGUCGAGGGGCAGCAUGUCCCGCAGCAAUGUGGGAUGAUGGCGACCGGCAAACGGGUGCGGAACACGUACACAACCUUCCUUUAAGCGGGGAAUAGCCCAGAGAAAUUUGGAUUAAUACCCCAUAGUAUAUUGAAAAGGCAUCUUUUUAAUAUUAAAGAUUUAUCACUAAGAGAUGGGUGUGCGGCUGAUUAGGUAGUUGGCGGGGUAACGGCCCACCAAGCCGACGAUCAGUAACUGGUGUGAGAGCACGACCAGUCACACGGGCACUGAGACACGGGCCCGACUCCUACGGGAGGCAGCAGUAAGGAAUAUUGGUCAAUGGACGAAAGUCUGAACCAGCCAUGCCGCGUGGAGGAUGAAGGUCCUCUGGAUUGUAAACUUCUUUUAUAUGGGACGAAAAAAGGUUUUUCGAAACCGACUGACGGUACCAUAUGAAUAAGCACCGGCUAACUCCGUGCCAGCAGCCGCCGUAAGAC